CCUCCUCCCACACACCACAAGCCAGCAGACAAGCACUCCCACCUCCUCCCACACAACAAACACACCGUCCUACCUCCACUUGGGGGCGGUACGAGUCUCAAGGAAUUUCCUUCGGCCUUCAAGACAUUAUCUGUUUUUUGUGAGUUAGUUAACGCCGUUCCAGGCGAGCCUGCGUGGCUCCAGCCCCGUCACGGACCAACUCACCAUCCCAGCUCUGCCUAAGCAACUUUCCCACCUUCAUUAUAGCGAGCAGGAUAACGUAUCUAAUUACUCUUAGAGUCUCCGAGGAGCUCCAACGCCAUCUUGCUCAGUACCAUCGUGCCGCAGAAUUUAACUGAAGGUGUUACGUAAGUUUCACUGGAGAAAAAUAAAAAAAAUUGUACAAAUCCGGAUUGCAGAAUAUUUCUCCUCACAUUGGGUUGGUAUUCCUCUGGUAUACCAAGCGUUCAAGGCCCUUAUGAAGGACAGCAAUUUUCCCACAAGAGACCAACAGCAGGUUUGUCACAGCUGGGUGCACAUAUAUAGGGAAGCAACACUGCAACAAAUGUAGAAGAUCCUCGUGCUCUCGCUCCUCUACACCGACCAUUAUCUAACCAACAGAAUGCAGUUCGCGUGUCUGAUGCUAGUCCUCCUGCUGGCGGUGUCGGCGGUGUUGGCCUCGGCCAGCGCUGACCCAGUCGCCGCCCCGGCGCCCAUUAAGUUCAAGAAGGGUUUCAAGUUCGGGGGCGGUUUCAGACGUCGCCCCGCCAUUCGUUUCGUGCCUGUGUACAGGAAACGCUUUGGGUGGGGCAAGUGAUGUACUAAGUUCACAGAACAUGCGCACUGAGUCCCACUGGAGGCGCUGUUAAACUUCAAUGUGGAUUGUCACAGAUCCUGUGGAUAUUGUCCUGAAGUUCUCGUUCUCUUAAUUUGACUAUAUUCAACUGUAUCAUCGUUGUGAUGACCUUCUAUCCAGCUGGCUGUGACCAGCACCUAGGAGGUAGAGGGCCGCUUUCUGCGUGAGCUGGUCGACUGACCAUUCUCACUGUAUUAACUCAAGUAAAAUAAAAUAAAUUCUUGGUU